UCCUUUUGUAUAUAAUUUAAGGUCUAGCCUGCCCACUGAAAUUUUAAAUGGCCGUGGUAUUUUGACCGUGCUAAGGUAGCAUAAUCAUUAGUUUUUUAAUUAAAAACUGGAAUGAAAGGUUGGAUGAGAAAAUAGCUGUCUCUAUUAAAUUUAAUUAGAAUUUUAUUUUUAAGUUAAAAAGCUUAAUUAUUAUUAAAAGACGAGAAGACCCUAUAGAGUUUAAUUAUUUAGUAAAAAUUAUAUUUUAGUAUUAAUUUAUUUAUUUUAUUAAAUAAUUUAAUUGGGGUGAUUGAAAAAUUUAAUUAACUUUUUUUAUUUAAAAACAUCAAUUUAUGAAUAAAUGAUCCAAUAUUUUUGAUUAUAAGAUAAAAUUACCUUAGGGAUAACAGCGUAAUUUUUUUAGAAAGUUCAUAUUAAAAAAAAAGAUUGCGACCUCGAUGUUGGAUUAAAAUAAAUUUUUGGUGUAGAAGCUAAAAUAUUAGGUCUGUUCGACCUUUAAAAUUUUACAUGAU
rnacentral:rRNA from 1 species